rnacentral:ncRNA from 1 species
CUUAUCAAGAGUGGUGGAGGGAACGGCCCUGUGAAGCCCGGCAACCUGCGUAUGUAAGGUGCCAAAUCCGGCGGUGAAACGAAAGAUGAG